rnacentral:rRNA from 1 species
UAACGCGUAAAGAACUUGCCUCGCAGCUAGGGACAACAUUUGGAAACGAAUGCUAAUACCUAAUAUUAUGAUAAUAGGGCAUCCUAUAAUUAUGAAAGCUAUAAGCGCUGUGAGAGAGCUUUGCGUCCCAUUAGCUAGUUGGAGAGGUAACGGCUCACCAAGGCGAUGAUGGGUAGCCGGCCUGAGAGGGUGAUCGGCCACAAGGGGACUGAGACACGGCCCUU